GAUGAACGCUGGCGGCGUGCCUAAUACAUGCAAGUCGAGCGAACGGACGAGAAGCUUGCUUUUCUGAUGUUAGCGGCGGACGGGUGAGUAACACGUGGAUAACCUACCUAUAAGACUGGGAUAACUUCGGGAAACCGGAGCUAAUACCGGAUAAUAUUUUGAACCGCAUGGUUCAAAAGUGAAAGACGGUCUUGCUGUCACUUAUAGAUGGAUCCGCGCUGCAUUAGCUAGUUGGUAAGGUAACGGCUUACCAAGGCAACGAUGCAUAGCCGACCUGAGAGGUUGCUGGGCCACCCUGGAACUGAGACACGGUCCAGACUCCUACGGGAGGCAGCAGUAGGGAAUCUUCCGCAAUGGGCGAAAGCCUGACGGAGCAACGCCGCGUGAGUGAUGAAGGUCUUCGGAUCGUAAAACUCUGUUAUUAGGGAAGAACAUAUGUGUAAGUAACUGUGCACAUCUUGACGGUACCUAAUCAGAAAGCCACGGCUAACUACGUG
rnacentral:rRNA from 1 species